UUAAAUGCCUGCAGACAAAAUCUAGUGAUAGAGAGUUUCCUGAAAUUCUGCUUCAACAGAAAGAGCAUAUGUUUAAGUAAUAUUUUCUUCCUAACUUCUCAAGG